AGGUUUUAUGCUCUUGAAGUAGAUUGUGUUUACUCUUAUGCCCUUCCUUUUCCUUUUAAUAAAAUUCUUCAUCCUCUUUAUUUCCAUCUCUAAGAACAUUCAUAUUUUAUGUUGUUUUAACUAGGGGUGAGUAAAAAAACUGACAAACCGAUUAAACCAAGAAAACCGGAAAAACAAUAACCGAAAAAACCGAACCAUGAAAAAAACCGAUUAAACCGAUCAGAAUAUUUUUUUAAAAAAAUUCGGUUCGGUUCGGUUUCAUAAGCUUAAAAUAAAAAAACCAAACCGAACCGGUUUAGUUAAGAAAUAAACCAAACCGAACCGAAAAGAACCCAUUAGAAAGUCCAAAAAAAGCCCAAAAAACAAUACAAUUUUCAGUUUUUAAUAUAAAAUAAUCAAACCAAACCGAAAUCGAACUGAAUCGAAUCAAACCGAACCGAAACCAGUCGGUUGGGUUUCGGUUUUUAAUUUAAAAUAACUUAACCGAACCGAAACCGGUCGGUUGGAAUCGGUUUCGGUUCGGUUUUGGUUUUUUUUAUAUAUAUUUUACAAAAUUUCAGUUUGGUUGUUUUUAUAGGUAAAAACCGAACCGAAUUCCAUCUCUAAGAACAUUCAUAUUUUAUGCUGUUUUAACAUAUAUACAUGCAUCCAUGCAUACAUACAUAUAGAAGCCCAAAAGCACUGCUCUCAGUCAAACAAAUAAUUUAAAAUGAUAUGCAUGUCAAUAUUCUCUCAACUAAAGAUUUUUUUCCCUGUUGAUAAAAGAAGAAAUAAUUUAAAAUGAAACAAGAAAGAUAUAACUACAAAGUCCGCACAUCAUUUGUGCUCUGUAUUCACUAGAUAGUAAUAAAUAAGGAAAUGGAAUGCAUGUUUGUGUUUUCUUUUGGGGGAUUUCUUGUUCUCCUACUCACUUCUUUUCCUCCUUGAAUGUUAUCAAGUGCUUUGAGAAUUGCAAAUUGAUUAUUAUUGAUCAGGGAUUCUCUUGUACAUUUCCCACAUGCAAGGUUAGAAAUAUCUUCGGCAAUUUCAAGGCUAUUUUAUUCCUCUAAACAAGUAUUUUACUACAUGAUCUCUCACUUUUCCAGCCAUAAACACGAUGCUUGCUCGUUAGGAUUAAGAAAACAGGAACCAUUUUUCAUUCAUAAGAAACAUUAAAGAUUGAUGCUACGGGAGGAG
rnacentral:lncRNA from 1 species